rnacentral:rRNA from 1 species
GACGAACGCUGGCGGUGUGCUUAACACAUGCAAGUCGAACGGUAAGGCCCUUUCGGGGGUGCACGCGUGGCGGACGGGUGAGUAACACGUGAGUAACCUGCCCUCAUCUCUGGGAUAGCAAUCUUCAGCGAUUGCUAGUACUGACCAUGUGCUUGCACGGCAUGUUUGGGGUUGGAAAGAUUUUUUUGGUUGGGGGUGGACUCCCGGCCUAUCAGCUUGUUGGUGGGGGGGUUGCUGACCAAGGAGUCGACGGGGAGCCGGCCUGGGAGGGCGACCGGCCACCUUGGGACUGAGAUACGGCCCAAACUCCUACGGGAGGCAGCAGUGGGGAAUAUUGCACAAUGGACGGAAGGCUGAUGCAGCAACGCCGCGUGCGGGAUGACGGCCUUCGGGUUGUAAACCGCUUUCAAUUGUGACGAAGCUUUUUGUGACGGUAGCAGUAGAAGAAGCACCGGCUAACUACGUG